GAACUUAAGCAUAUCAAUAAGCGGAGGAAAAGAAACCAACAGGGAUUGCCUCAGUAACGGCGAGUGAAGCGGCAACAGCUCAAAUUUGAAAUCUGGCCGCAAGGUCCGAGUUGUAAUUUGUAGGGGAUGCUUUUGGCGAGGUGCCUUCCGAGUUCCCUGGAACGGGACGCCAUAGAGGGUGAGAGCCCCGUACGGUAGGACCACCAAGCCUCUGUAAAGCUCCUUCGACGAGUCGAGUAGUUUGGGAAUGCUGCUCUAAAUGGGAGGUGUACGUCUUCUAAAGCUAAAUACCGGCCAGAGACCGAUAGCGCACAAGUAGAGUGAUCGAAAGAUGAAAAGCACUUUGAAAAGAGGGUUAAAAAGUACGUGAAAUUGUUGAAAGGGAAGCAUUCAUGACCAGACUUGGGCUUGGUUGAACAUCCGGCGUUCUCGCCGGUGCACUCUGCCAGUCCAGGCCAGCAUCAGUUUGCCCCGGGGGAUAAAGGCGGCGGGAAUGUGGCUCCCUUCGGGGAGUGUUAUAGCCCGUCGUGUGAUGCCCUGGGGCGGACUGAGGAACGCGCUUCGGCACGGAUGCUGGCGUAAUGGUCAUCAAUGACCCGUCUUGAAACACGGACCAAGGAGUCGUCUUCGUAUGCGAGUGUUCGGGUGUCAAACCCCUACGCGUAAUGAAAGUGAACGUAGGUGAGAGCUUCGGCGCAUCACCGACCGAUCCUGAUGUUCUCGGAUGGAUUUGAGUAAGAGCAUACGGGGCCGGACCCGAAA
rnacentral:rRNA from 1 species